rnacentral:misc_RNA from 1 species
ACCCCAAAUUUUUUGGAUAAAGGUCUAGUUGAGUUUAGUUGAGUGCAUUGAAUGUUUAUCUUCUCAGUAGUUGCUACUCAAAGGGCACAUCCAGCAGAUCAAUAAUAACUAGAAUGUCAUUCUUCUCAAUAAUAUUGUCCGAAAUGAUUACCACUUAUGGAACUAAAAAUGCAAUUUACAAUGCAAGAACUACCUUUCCCAGCUUUUGAUAUCACAG